CUUCACUAUAUUCGAGUGGCGAAUGUUGCCCAGGAUCUCAACCUCAGUCUGGAACUCUUUCUCCAACUUGUCAUCCACAUUCUCGCGAUUCCAGAUCCGCUUCACCGCAACAUACUCACCUGGACGAUUUGAAGCAAUCCGGUAAACUUUCCCAAACCCUCCACUCCCUAUGAGGUUAUUGUCUGUCAAACUCGAGAGGAAGUUUAUUUCCGUGAGAUCAAGCUUCUGGAAUGAAGUGAGCCUCCACGUUGCAACCUUAUUUUUAUGCCCGCAGUGCUUUUUGCCCCAUUGCGUUUUCAACAUAUAGUAGACCAAGGAAGCUAUUGCCGCUAACACAACCGCAGUGGCAGCCAGAACCAGGGCCACUGAUUUCGAAGACGAAUUGCUCGACUGUGGUGCCGCUGACGCGGUUUUGGUCAAGC
rnacentral:lncRNA from 1 species